AGUGAACGCUGGCGGUAGGCCUAACACAUGCAAGUCGAACGGCAGCACAGUAAGAGCUUGCUCUUACGGGUGGCGAGUGGCGGACGGGUGAGGAAUACAUCGGAAUCUACUUUUUCGUGGGGGAUAACGUAGGGAAACUUACGCUAAUACCGCAUACGACCUACGGGUGAAAGCAGGGGAUCUUCGGACCUUGCGCGAUUGAAUGAGCCGAUGUCGGAUUAGCUAGUUGGCGGGGUAAAGGCCCACCAAGGCGACGAUCCGUAGCUGGUCUGAGAGGAUGAUCGGCCACACUGGAACUGAGACACGGGCCAAACUCCUACGGGGGGCAGCGGGGGGGAAUUUUGGAAAAUGGGCGCAAGCCUGAUCCCGCCAUACCGGGUGGGUGAAGAAGGCCUUCGGGUUGUAAAGCCCUUUUGUUGGGAAAAAAAAGCAGCAGGUUAAUACCCCGCUGUUCUGACGGUACCCAAAAAAUAAGCACCGGCUAACUUCGU
rnacentral:rRNA from 1 species